rnacentral:rRNA from 1 species
AGCCAGAGCAAUAUCACCCUGCAUUUACUGAACUAAGCAGGGCUGAGCCUGGUCAGUACCUGGAUAGGAGAACACAUGGGAAAACUAGGUUGCUGUUGGAA